AGGGUUCACGGGUGGCCUACAGGCAAGAACUUGUACAGCUGACCUAUGAACACAAAUGACUUUUUUUUCUUUUCUUUUUUUUUUGGUGAUCACACACUAUGACAAUAGAUAUACUUGCAGAAAAAAACAGUAAAUUUUCAUGUUUAACGAACAAGUAUCACUGUUGCAGAGAAAAUGUUAUGUGAUCAUUAGUGAGUGACAAUCAUGUGCUUGUUCAUGCCAGUAAAGUUCAGAUUUAACUGUGCAUUUCAAUUGUCAGCAGUAGAGUGUGUCUGAAUGAAGAAGUUUUUAUCAUUAAGUGAAAGGCAAAUGAAACAUUACUGUAAGUGUUGUUAGGUACACACUGAGCAUACUUGGUCCAUGAGCUCCAGUCCCCUGAGACCAUAAUGUUACUUCAGGUGGAAUAGCAGCGAUAGCUGAUCAGAGUUCUCCACCUGCUGGACAAAAAUUGUAAACUCCACUCCACAGGUGUUUACUGGCUGUAGAGGGGGUUUCGAUCUAUGGAAGUCUAUGACCAUCUCCUUUGUCUUUGAGGUGUUGAGGAGGAGGCAGUUUUUGUGACUCUAGUCACUGAAGGCUCUUAUCAGAUCUCUGUAUUCAGCUUCUUGUCCAUUUCUGAUACAUGCCAUGAUAGCAGUGUCAUGUGAGUAUUUCUGGAUGUGGCAGGACUCAGCGUUGUAUUUGAAGUCUGACGUGUACAUUGUGAACAGGAAUGGCGCCAGCACUGUCCCUUGUGGAGCCCCUGUACUGCUCAUUAAUGUCCCAGAAACACAGUUCCCCAGCCUGACAAACUGUGGCCUUCCUGUCAGGUAAACUGUGAUCCAGGAAACACAGGAAGGAUCCACUCCCAUCUCUGUGAGCUUGUCUUUGAGUAUGGUGGGUUGGAUGGUGUUGAAUGCACUUGAAAAGUUGAAGAACAUGAUCCUCACAUAAACCCCAGGUUCCCUCAGAUGAGACAGGGCACAGUGAAGCAUGUAGAGGACAGCAUCAUCCACUCCAAUGUGUUCUUUGUAUGCAAACUGCAGGGAAUCCAGUUUGUCUCUGACCCUAGACAGCAUAGGAUCAGCCGCUCCAGGGUUUUCAGGAUGUGUGAACUGAGGGCCACUGGUCUGUAGUCAUUGAGUUCAGCAGGACAUUUUGUUUUUGGCACAAUGUAGGAUGUUUUCCACAGAGCAGGUACCCGCCCCAGCUGUCGACUCGGGUUGAAGAUCCUGUGGAGAGGUUGACACAGUUCUGCAGCACAAUCUCUAAGCAGCCUUGGACACACACCAUCUGGACCAGCUGCCCUUCCAGGACAAAGUCUUCCAAGCUCCAUCCUCACCCCUGUUUCGGUGACAGACAAGGACUGGUGUUCUAGGAGGGAGGCAGUUGAAGUGGUUGAGACAUUUGAAUGAGAUGGAGGAGGAAGGGGAGAAGUUGUAGUGGGGAUUUAGAGGAAGGUGGAGUAGCAGUGGAAGUGGGAGUGACAGCAGUGUCAAAUCUGUUGAAGAACAGGUUGAGUUCAUCAGCUCUUUCCAGAUCACCCACCACUGGCUGUCUUUUCUUUUUACUGCUGUGUCCAGAGAUGGUACUGAUUCCUCUCCACACUUCACGGAUGUUGCUGUGUUGUAGAUUCUUCUCUAUCUUCUUUUUGUACUCCAGCUUUGCCAUCUCCAGUCUCCUCUUCAACUCUUGUUGCACUUGUUUGAGUCGUUCUUUGUCACCAUCUUUAAAAGCUUUCUUUUUCUGGUUAAGGAUUGCUUUUAUGUCUCUUGUGAUCCAGGGUUUGUUGUUGGGGAAACAGCGAACAGUUUUUGUGGGUAUAACUGUGUCUCUACAGAAGUUGACAUAUUCUGUAAAGCAGUCAACCUGUUUAUCAAUGUUCAUACUAUCCACAUCUGUUUCCAGCAGCACAUUCCAGUCUGUUGAUUUAAAACAGUCCCUUAGAACCUCACUGGCUUGAGAUGGUCCAUCUUCUGAUUUUGACUUUGGUCACAGGCUGCCUCAGCACACAAGGUCUGUAACAGGUUUGCAGACAGACCAAGUUAUGAUCUGACUUGCCCAGUGGUGGUAAGGCAGCAGCUCUGUAGGCUUCUUUGACGUUGGCAUACAGCAGAUCCAGGGUUUUGUUUUCUCUGGUAGGACAGUUCACAAACUGUGUGAAUCCAGUCAGGUGAGAGGAGAGGGUGACAUGGUUUAAGUCUCCUGAUAUUAUUAUUAUUAUUAGUGCCUCAGGGUGUUGAGUCUGUAGCCUGGCAACACUAUUUUGCAAAACAUUGCACAGAUAUGAUAUAACUAAAUUCUCUUGGAACAUAAUAACAAUUAAGUAAAUUUACUCUUGUCUUGCAUUUUACUGUUACUGUCAAAAAAAAAAAACUUUUCAGAGACAUUGGAAAAUAAGGGCUUCACUUGAAAAUGCAUUUGAAUUGUAUUAUCUAGGAAAAGAUAUUGAAUGUUUAUUUAGGUUUAUCAUUAUCUUAACCUUUAACAAGCAUUUUAGUUAUGUAACUUUGAUGAACUGCUCAUGAAUUAAUUACAGAUAUAAUUUAAAAGAAUCCCAUUUACCAGAUGUCACUUCAAAGUAAGUGUCACUGCAACAAUAUAUUCCCUUUCAUUGUCUGCAGUAAAAUCAGUACUCUUACAAUGAAUGCAUAUUGCAUAAGAAAAAAACUACUCAGACAUUACAAUAACCUUGCUAAUCAAUAUUAUCUAUUUUGCUGUGGCUACUUUACAUAAUUUAGCUACCAUUCAUGUCUAUAAAUUUGACAGGUGGCCUUUCAGCUUAGGUUCACCUUUUUUUGUGGAACAUGUCCGCAGGUCUUCUUGCCCUCUCAACCAGGAGGCUGUAAAGAAGCUGUACUAAAAUGUGCUCUUAAAUAAAACUUUCGUUGAGAAGUAAAACAGAAGAGUUUGUGUUGAUGCCCCUACACAACAUUCAAAGCAAAAAUAACUGUCAGCAACAAGAGAAUAAUUUCUGUUACUGCUGCCACUGGGUAAGUGUCAGACAAGGUCAUUUCAGUGUGCUAUCAAAACAGACUUUGUUUCACCUGUCUAAGGAAAUGCUGAUGAUUAAUUGACAGUUUUUCCUUUUUUUUUUUUGGUCAAAAACUCUGCUUUUUCGAGUGAGGGAGAAAUUAAGAAGAGAGACCUUACUCAAUUCCAUGCAAGCUGAGUCCUACUACUAAACCACUAAUAUCUGAACAAAUAUGGAUAUUUCCAGUGAGAUUUGAAAUAAAAACAGAAAUACUCAAGGACCUGAAUAAUUGGCUAAAUAAUUGCAAAUUUUUUACACAAAAAUGAAUGGUGAUAAAUGCUGUUUUUGCAAAGAUAUUGAAUUUAUAUUCUAGCAGGUAUAGUGAGUAGUUUUACAGGAAAGGAAAGCAAGAGAUACUUCAUAUUUGAUCAUAUUGUGACAGUGCAGAAAAUCACCAUUUCAUCUCCUGAGAGACCUUACAAUGACACAUAAAAGAGGUAACCAGUCUUAUAAAAAAUAUGGUACAGUUGAUGCAGUAACAAAUACAUACUUUGGGGAAUUUUUUUAUCUGUUUCUAACUACAAUCAGAUUUAAUCUCCAUAUAUUUCCAACAGUUUACAGAAAUCUAGCUGCAGCACUUUCAAAAGGGGCAUACAGGUUGUCAAAAAAGUGCAACAGGCUACUCCUCACAUUAAGUAUGAAAGGCUGUUUAGAGCUUAUAACUGACGGUUGUUUGAAAUUCUAUUUACAUCAAAACUCACCAGACAAACUAAUCGAGGAACUCUGCCCUAUUUCAGACUUGUGUCUAUAAAAGCAUAAAAAAAAGAAAGAAAUAACAAUAAAAGUGUCACACAGCACAGCACAUGGAUCGUAUCACCACAGUUCAAUCAAUUCUUAAAACUAGUCCCACCUGUGCUGCUGUGAGGCCGCAGGGGUCCCACAAGUCUACUGAGGCACAGCACUGAGCAACACAGCAGGACUGUGUAGAAAUGAACCUUUUUGUCCACCUGCCUCUCUGGCUGGUAUAUCCUCCACAGGUAGUUCCUCCUUACAGCCGACAUGAUUCAGGACGAUUUUCAUUUUUUACUGUCAUCAUCAAGCAGGAGCAUAAGGCAGAGCAUAAAAAUCAGCAGGAGAGGGGAAAUCAGAGUAUGCAGCAUAAGGGAAAUAAGGAGGAGCAACAGAAAAGAAAUGAGGAGGAAAAAUUUGAGGGACGGAGAAAAGCAUGAAGGGGAGCAGUGGGAGGUGAAGGAGGGCAGUCAGGACGAUCAGCAGGAGGAAGAGGGGCACCACUUGAGGGAAGAAAAGUAUCAUACUGUCAAAAUCUGUGCAUCCAUAAGAGAAUUAUGAAUGGUAUUCUGCUGUUGGAGUACAAUGACCACAUAUGAGCGAUAAUAACUGUUGGAGCCAUUAUUUAGUUUCUUUUGUUAGUUUCAUUUCUUGUUUCUAUUCCUUGGUUCUUUGCACCGUAAAAGGGUAUUUAAGUAAGCCCAGGUAGUGAGUCAGGUGUGAAGAGUGGAGCUAUACAGAUUUUUGACCAUGUCAGGAUGGCAGCAGGUGAACUUUCUUUGUUUUAAUGGAAAGAAAUGGGUCACCGUACUCAAAGAAAGAAUAUUGGAAUCUUGGUUUUUAUUGUCACAUCACAUGUCAGAACGAGUCGUAACUCUUCACCUAUUAGAACUCAGGUGUAUAGUCUCAGUGGAAAGACUCUACAAUAUCUGUAGUUAAGACAACAGUUAUUACACUUAGAAUAAAAGCAGACAGCAAACAGCAGCUCUGCUGCAGGGAAUAGAAACCUCAGGACAGCAUCACUGAUUUUAGACUUUGGACUCUGACUGCAUAUCAGCA